CUGUUCUUCCUGAAGCAAAAGGGAGUAAAAAAGGUUUGGAAUAAAAUUAUUCAGGUCUUAAUAUAUUCUUGUUAUCCACGUAAUUUCCCACCCUUUCCUUCAGUGCAGCUAAUUCUCAGUGGAAAAGUCUUUUUAUGAUCAAGUUGAAGCCUAUUAUCUCUCGCCGUACUAAAUGAAAGUCGUGUUUCUUUUACUACACAGCAUGAAAAAGGAGGGCAAUUGUGACCCCCGUUGCAUUCGAUAGCUGGAUCUGUACAAAUGCAGCACAAACACCACAUCUUUUAUAAUUUAGUGGGUUAUUCUAUCGAACAUAUGUAAGAUACAUCUCAAAAGAGUAUCAUAAGACAUGUAAGGUCUAGGGAAAACAAGAACGUUUGAGAGUAUGCAGUUAGGAGGACUAACAGUCCAAGCUUUCUUUAUUGUCAGAAUUAUCUAACAUAGCACAGCACUUUAUCAUAAAAUAAUUUCACUUUGCAUAAAAGCACAGAAGAUGACAGAAUAAAAAUAUGUUUAUGGAACAAAGGAAGAUUGAUUAAUCAAAGCAACAGUAAGAGCUCCAUGCAAUCUUAUUUCUACAUAUUGUUUAAUAUAAUUUGCCUAAAUAGAUGAGUCGACUCAUCUAUUAAAAGAAAAAAUUUUAAAAAGGACUGUCCAUUAAAAAAGAAAAAGGACACACUAAUAAAUCACUGCAAAUAAGGUUUAUAAGACAGGCUUUUCAGUGCCAAAAUAUCUCUAGCUGAGCCUGUCACUGCUAAUGAAACCAGAAGCACUGGUUCCUGAUUUGGUGUCACAAACCAGCUCAGCAGCAUCACCAGGUCACUGCUCCUGGAGUGACCCCAUCCCUGGCCGAACCCCCACACUGCGGUACCGUGCCGCACAUGCUCCCCCAAAGGCAGGCAUCUCUAUCAAGGCUUUUAUCACCAUCUACAUUUCUGAGUGGGAAAUGCCUCUAUCUACUGAACUUUCCAUCUGACACCAAACCAGAGGAGAGGUUUACCCCCACACUGCAUCAGAAAGUUGCUCAUUAACCUGGGAGGUCAUAGACAUGCCCAACAAACAGGCGUCUGCGUUUCCAAGAAGAGAGAGGGGAUGUUUAUUUUAGUUGUGCUUCUCAGAAUUUGCUUCCAGAUAACAACAAAGUAAUUAAGACAUGGGGCAUAGAGAAAAUCCAUCUAGACUUGCUGGAACAGAUCGGAAGAGUGAAGUGGUCACGGCAGCUAACAUGCUCUGCAAGGCUGUGCCUCUCUCCAAUGCGUGCACCCCAUGAAGGGACCCACCCUCCCCGUCAGGAGUCCAGGUCUGACCCAUCUGUCAAGGCAGAGCUUCAGUUACAGAUCAACCGCGAGAUCCAGGCAAGCAACACUACAGCUCCUUAAAGCAUUAGCUUGUCAUGAGCAGCUCCGUAGGUCAGAUGUCAGCUCUGCCUUUGGGUGAUGCACAACCACGCUGUGGGAGCGUCCUCGCUGCAGCUCACAUCACCCCAAAGGGGUUUCAGCUUACGGCUUUUCACCGACAGCCCCGACUGCACAGCAGCCAGAUAUCUAAAAGCAUCAAAUUACUAAUCCUGAGAGAGAAACUGAGGAACAGCUGUGGUAAUAGGCAUUAGAAAGCUUGUUUUAGACUACACCAGUGACUUUAAUUACUUCAACAUGCUACAAAAUUAAGCAGUCUUUGAAGCAGUAGCGAAAGCAUCAGCCAACCUACGACAACCUGAAUGCCUGAAAGCACUGACCUUGGGAACUCAAUUAAGGCAGGCAAAAUUCAUUAAAUUGUAGCUGAAUGAAAGAAACCGA